GGCAUGGUGGCCAAGCGGUAAGGCGUCGGUCUUGUAAACCGAAGAUUCAUGGGUUCAAAUCCCAUCCUGUGCCU